GUAACAGCCAUAGGAUGAGGGGCGGUGGUCCCAAGUUGCACCAUGGGAGCUUCAGGCUGGAUGGUAGGAAAAACUUACUAGGAAGGGUGGUCGGGCACUGGAAUGGCCUGCCCAGGGAGGUGGUGUAGUCGCCAUCCCUGGAGGCAUUCAAGACACAUGGAUGUGGCACUGAGGGACAUGGUUAGUGGGCAUGGUGGGGACGGGCUGAUGAUUGGACUAGAUGAUCUUAGAGGUCUUUCCCAACCUGAUUCUGUGGAGCCUUCUUUGCCACAGGUUCGGCCCAGGUGUUUGGUUUAGUACUGGUAGGCACCUCCAUUGUAUUAUUGUGAAUGGUUAUUUUAGUAAACAUGGGUUGAACCUUCAAGACCAGCGGAAAGAAUUCCUGUUCCUCUAAAUUGUAUGCAAAAUUUGAUUGGAGAGCAAAACGGGAGCCGACAUACUUGCUUGGCCACAUUCUGAUAUGUUUCUAAAUGGCUGGAAAUAGAAGCACCUUUUGCACAGAAUCAGAAGCCACAUGGCAGGUCCGGUGGCCUGCAUCCCAAGGGUGGUUCCAGGGGUGGACCAACACAUUUGCCAUUGGCCCUUUGUAUUUUUGCUGUCACAGGGAUGCGGAGUUUCAUGUGGGGGAAUCACUGACAGGAGGGUGUGAUGGUUGUGUCAGAACGAUCUUGGCUUCAGCAGCAGUGCUGUAUUACAGUUUGGGAAGAUGGAGGAGUCGCAGCGACGUGAAGAAAUGCGGAGGUGUGUGAAAAUAGCACUGAAAAUGCAACUUAGAAGAAAAGACGUUCAGUUAAAGCACACGAGGACAAGCCUAGAAACCUGUUCUGGCAGCUCGACCUCUUGGUACAAUCGUACGAGGAAAAUGCCACCUGCACCGUUGGUUCUAAAAGCCUACGGACAAAGCAGCGUCGUAACCACCGGCAACAUAACCACGUCGAUGCCGGGAUUUGAGCUGACAGCCGACGCGUGCCGCAGGCGGCGCUGGAAAGGAG
rnacentral:lncRNA from 1 species